AGAAUUAAUCGAAAUUGUUUUACUUUCUCUUUCCCCACAAUCUUGCUCGGGAGGGUUUUGGUUUUUUAGUAAUCUGUUUCUUUGUGGACGUUGGAGGAAAAUUCUAGGAUAUCAAAGGAGACAAGUUGUGCAUUGAGAGAUGGGUAGGGCGUGGAUCCGCCAGAAAGCGGUGCAGCGAGGAGCAGGAGAUGCAUAGUGGAGUGGGAAUCGGAGAGCGAGGGCGAGAUCAGGGGAGUUCUGGGGGCGUUGCCGGGUCGGCAGUAGGUGGAGAGAAGGUUGUAAUGCGGCAGGAGCGCGAGCAAGGAGCACUAAUGGGAAGCGCGAGAGAGCCAUGAUGAGCAACAAUGAGGGUAGUGUGAGGGUUUAAGUGUGACUUGGUUGAGGCGAAUCCGAGGUGUUGGUGAAGGAAGGGUAGAGAGCGGCGGUGCUGCUGAGUUGGGAAGAGAAAUAAGCUACGCUUGGAGCUGGAGAGAGAUCGAGGGAGUGGCGCUUGGAAGUUGCGGGGGAGAGAGAGAAAGCGCCGGUUAAGGUGAUCUUACGGCGGCCGCAGCUUCUUGGCUACACGAUUCUAGGCCUUCAGCCAACUGUACAAUAUUUCGUUGAACAGGGUGCAAAGUCGGAGCUUUUGGGCAAAGUCAUCUCCACUUCUCCUCUUUGUAUCUUAGCCUUUGGAUCCCUCACAACUUUCUUCACGAGUGCAUAAAUGAUAUGGUUUUUUGUUUUUUUACAGCUCAAAAAUUUCCGGAUGCCUGACAACGUUGAUGUUUGACAGCAGCCUCUAGAUGCCUUGAUAGCCUCAUCUAUACACAAUUGUAGAACCAAUUAAGUGUGUGACAGUUGGCAUGUGAAGUCUACUGAAAGAUGGGGCCCAAUUACGGCAUGCUGCUAUGUCUCCACAGGUGAAUUAUGACAGUGAAAUUCAAGGAGCUGGAAUAAAGGAUAACGGAGGUCAGCACUGAGUGGAGCAUUACUGCGGGUAGUGGUGGUCGGCCAACCUUGGUGCUGGUGUGCGCGCAAUUAGACGAUUCGGCAAGAAUGGUCAGGAAAAGUUGAGAGUUUUGUAGGUGAUUGCUGAAGCGCUUGAUCAAGGCUGCUGCUCCAGCUUUGAAUCUACAGAAGAUGGAUUCCCAACUGCAAUUACAGAUGAUAUUGAACAACACACUUCUUCAAAAAAAUAUCAAUAUACAACAACUCCACAUAAUUGAUAGAAUCUCUUCCUGCUAUUGGUAGAAUCCAAUUCCGCUGAAAGAUGACAACAAACCAUGAAUCAAAACAACAAAACCAAAUCCUUACCACUUCACUCUCUAGAUCCUUGAGGUUGAUCGUAAGGUGCACAUAGCCAGUUCUAAUUGCCUCUGUCACCAUAUAGCCCAUCAUUAGAGCAGAAUAAAAUCAAGGUUGUUAAAUCAAGCUUGUUAAUAUAUUUUACAAUCUAGUGCGGGUCAAUAAUUUUUAAAGAAGAAAAAUACA